AUGGACACAGAUAGUAAGCUAACAAACCCUGAUGGUUAUGACAGAGUCAUAUCGGCUGAGAUUCCUGACAAGGACGAGUACCCUAUACUGCAUGCUCUGGUGAUCAAACAUAUGCUCCAUGGACCAUGUGGUACUCUCAAGAAAAAUUAUCCUUGCAUGAUAGAUGGAGAAUGUCGUUUUCACUAUCCUCGACAGUUUUGUGCCGCUACGCAACAAGGAAAGGACUCAUAUCCGAUCUAUAGGAGGAGAGAUGAUGGCCGACGCGUAAAAGUCAGGGGUGCUGUGUUGGAUAAUAGAUGGGUGGUCCCUUACAACCCUGGUCUACUUAUGCGGUAUAACUGUCACAUCAACGUGGAAGCUUGCUCAAGCAUCAAAGCUGUUAAAUAUCUUUUCAAAUACAUCUACAAAGGACAUGAUCGUGCAUCCUUCUCAGUUGAUUCUGCAGGAAAUGAUGAUAGUGUAAUAAAUGAGAUUCGGCAAUAUAGAGAUGCAAGGUUCAUAUCACCACCCGAGGCUAUCUAUAGGAUUUGUGCUUUCCCGAUGUUUGGUGUUUCGCCAGCUGUUCUUCAACUCCAGCUCCACUUACCCAAUAUGCAUACUGUUGCAUUCAAAGGGUCUGAUAACCUAGAGGAUGUCAUCACACGCCUGUCUUCUUCUAAAACUAUGCUGACGCAAUAUUUCAAGAUGAACCAGGAGGACCCUUAUGCACAGAAUUUCUUGUACAAUGAGUUCCCAGAAUACUUUAGAUGGAUUAAAGGUAAAAAGAAGUGGCAAAGAAGAAAAUAG
rnacentral:rRNA from 1 species